rnacentral:lncRNA from 1 species
CAUUCAGUGAAGCGCUCUCUCCUAAAACCCAACUUACAGUGUGAUUUGGUUUGCGGCACUAAUUGUGAACUAAGAGUGUAUGUAAGAAACAUAGAACAUGUUUUCUUAAUAGUAGGGGCAGCAUUUUUCUCCAUUUACUCGUGGCCAUCUGGUUUUCUCCUAUUGUCCAUGAUACUCUUACAUAUCAUGCUUUGGAUCAAAAAUUAUGUGUAGCUACCAUGGUAGCCUUCUCAGACAUGGCCUGUAAAGUAGCUCUGAACCUAAGAGUGAUAGAACCCUGGACAAGUUCAUUAACCUCUGAGACUUCCUGCCUCAACUCUUAAAGAGUGGAGAGCUAUAACAACCACCUGUCAAGAUGAGGAGUCAGCCAGGACUGCAGGACAGAUGGGUCAACACAAGCAGACUGAGGCAAGCACGGUGCAUGAGGAAGCUUUUCCCAUUUUCCAUUUCUUCCUUUUAUAACUUUUAACCUCUUAACAUUUAAACUUUUCCCAUGAUUCUUAUUCCUGUGG